rnacentral:rRNA from 1 species
UACGGAGGGGGCUAGCGUUGUUCGGAAUUACUGGGCGUAAAGCGCGCGUAGGCGGAUCAUCAAGUCGGGGGUGAAAUCCCGGGGCUCAACCCCGGAAUGGCCUUCGAGACUGGUGGUCUUGAGUUCGAGAGAGGUGAGUGGAAUUCCGAGUGUAGAGGUGAAAUUCGUAGAUAUUCGGAGGAACACCAGUGGCGAAGGCGGCUCACUGGCUCGACACUGACGCUGAGGUGCGAAAGCGUGGGAAGCAAACAGG